UUAGGAUUUGGAUUAGGGUUUGGCUAGGGUUCGAUUUAGGGUUUGAUUUAUAGUUUAGGGUUUGAAUUAGGAUUUGGUUAGGGUUUUAUUUAGGAUUUGGAUUAGGAUUUGGAUUAGGAUUUAUAAUUUGUUUAGGGUUUGAUUUAGGGUUUGAAUUAGGAUUUGAUUAGGAUUUGAUUUAGGGUUUGUAUUAGGAUUUGGAUUGGAUUAGGGUUUGGGUUAGGAUUUAGGGUUUGGUUAGGAUUUGAUUUAGGGUUUGGAUUAGGGUUUAGGAUUUGAUUAGGAUUUGAUUUAGGAUUUGGUUAGGAUUUGAUUUAAGGUUUGAUUUAGUAUUUAUGAUUUGGAUUAGGAUUUAGGAUUGAUUUAGGAUUUGGUUUAGGAUUUAGGAUUUGAAAUAGGAUUUGAUUUAGGGUUUAAUUUAAGGUUUGUUUAGGAUUUGACUUAGGAUUUAGGAUUUAUUAGAUUUUAAGAUUUAAUUAGGUUUGGUCUAAAGUUUGAGUGAAAUUCAAUAGGGUUUUAACUAGAAUUAAAUUAAGGUUGAAUUGACAUAUAUUUGAGUAAUAUUUAUGAUCAUUCUAAUAUUUUUUUAAAAAAUUUAUUAUUUGUUUGAAAUUUCUUUGAGUUGAUUUGAAUUUGAUUACGUUUGUUUACCAUUAUUAUAGUCUAAUUAGAGCAUUGUUAGUAUUCUAUUAGAAUUAAGAUUUUGUUAUCGCAAUUUCUAUUCUUCCUUCUACAGCCAGGUGUCCAGAGCAUUCUCAAGCAAGACUUCAUACAUUACGACAACGGUGCAUAAGAAAAAUGGAUUAUUACGUUUUAUUCAAGAUAUGCAGCCAAUGAAUGCAUUAACUAUAAGAAAUGUAGGUAUAGGACCUUUAGUAGAUGAGUUUGCUGAAGCAUUUGCAAGAAGGGCAAUUUAUUCAAUAGGUGAUUUAUAUUCGAGUUAUGAUCAAUUUCAACUUGCGUAUGGAAGUAGAGAUGUAACAACAAUGAGAAUGCCACUUGGAUUACUUAAAAUGUGUACUCUUCCACAAGGUGCUACUAACUCAGUUGCACAUAUGAUGAAUGGGAUGAACAAGGUACUAAGAGACUUCAUUCCUGAAAAAACUAUGUCUUUUUUAGAUGAUGUUCUUAUCAAAGGAUGUAAAGAAGGAAAAAAAGAUGAAACUUUAGAUGAGAAGGGGUGUCGCAAAUAUGUUGUUGAUCAUAUACAAGAUUGUGAAAAGAUUUAAACUCGACUUGAAGAGGUUCAUCUUACACUUUCAAGAGUAAAAUCUACAUUUGGAAUGCAGGAAGUUCUUAUUGUUAGGUAUUUGUGUGGUUUUAUGGGAGAAAGCUAGAUUCAAGCAAAGUUGAUGCAAUUGGAAGGAUAAAAGGUUCAUGUAACUCUUAAACAGAAGUACGCAGGUUUUUUAGGAGCUUGUGUAUUUUAUCGUAUAUGGAUUUCUCAUUAUUCUCAUGUAGUGGAUCCAUUGUAUGAAUUAUUAUGUAAGUGUUAUGAAUUUAAAUGGAAAAGAAAGUAUACUGAAGCAAUGCAGAAGCUAAGGGUGUUAUUGGUGACACCUUCAAUUUUAAGAAGAAUUGAUUAUGACUAUAAUAAACAAGUAAUUCUUAUUGAGGAUAUUAGUCCUAUUAGUAUUGGAUGGACUGUGGGUGAAGAUGAUUCAAGUGGAAAUAGAUUUGUAAUUCGAUUUAGAGCUACAAUUUUAAGUACUCAUCAAUGUGCAUAUUCACAAGUCAAAAGAGAACUUUGGUGAGUUGUUUCGGCUAUGAAAGCUGAAAGGGAUUAUUUGAUUGGUGCAGUAGUAGUAAUUGAAACAAAUUCCUUGCCAUUAUUUGGAAUGAUUACUAAUUAUUCAAUGCCGGAUAUUGCAAUGUUAAGAUGGAUUACUUAUAUUAAAUCAUUAAAUCCGAAAUUUAAGCAUAUUGCUAGAAAAGAUAAUUUAGUAGCAGACAUGCUAUCUCGAGCAAGAUAUGAAAGAGAAGACGAAAUGGUUGAAGACAUUGAUGAUGUUGGAUCAAAAUUCUAUUUAAUAUCAAAUCUUAACAAAGAAGACAAGCUAUUUCUUGAAGAAUUUUAUGAAGGAGAAUUAUUGGAUAUUGAUCAUUACUUGAAUACCUUGACUAAGCAAGAAAAUUGGUCUACAAAAAAAUUUAAACAAAUAAAAAAAAAAAACAUAUGGAUUUUUGUUUCAAGAAGGAUUCUUAUGGAAGAAACCAAAGAAAAGAAUUGGAAUGCCUCAAAGAGUGAUAGGCAAUAAGUGUCACUGACAUACUCAUGUAAACUAGUAAUUACAUAUAUAAAUAAGUAGAAGUAAGUAAAAGUACUUAAAAGUAAGUUAAUUCUAUAGUAUUUGGUACAGAAGCAUUUUAGAAGGUUCAUAGACGCUUCUUUGACUUCAUAGGUGUCUUUAAUUGACUUUUUGGAUUAGAAUCGUAGUCAACAAGUUGGCCAUGUGCCACACAUGUUGUUAGCUUGAAGAUCAAGCUAACUAUGUGGCCCACUCGUAGAGAAACUUACCUUGUAAGUCAAGGCAAGUGUCUUACAAUGUCAACACAUAUUGGAGGUCCUAUAGAAGGUUGCCACAUAGCCCUUAGUUAGAUAGUAUAUAUAGAAACAAGAAUGAAGCCUUCUUCACUCUUAUCAACUCCUUUCUUAUUUCAUGUCUAGUUUUAAGAAUCGUCAUGUUUUCUAGUCUUUAGCAAUAGCCAUUCUAGUUCAAUAUAUUAUCACCUUUGAGUGAUUUUUAAGUAUUUUCGAGUGACACAGGACUGUAUUGACUUUAUCUUUUUUUGGAGUUUAUGUUCUUGAUAGUUUGACAAGAGUCCUAACAUAUUAUUUCUGUCUUGUUCUAAAAGUGAGUGGAUUACUCCACUUCUAUUAUUGUAUUUUUAAGGUUGCGGACUACCCACCUUUAAAAAAAAAAUCUUGUUUUCUAACACUGAUCUUUUUCUUAAAGAGAGUGGAUUACCCCUCUUUGUGGAAUUUGUUUUUAGAGGUUACAAAUUAUCGUCCUCUUAUUUAACUUUUGAAUUCGUUUGAGUUGUCUAUAGAAGGAAAAAUCAUAAGUGCUACACUUGAUGGAAGUAAAAAUUUACAACUAUUGCAGAUCUUCAUGAACUUGUCAAUACUCUUAGGACCGAAAUUUCAUGCAUCACCAACACCAACCAUGGAAGCACUAUUCCUACUACUAUGGAAGAAGUUCAGAGUCUACGCCAAGAAGUUGUGUAGUUGAAGGAAAUAAGUCGAUUAGCCUCGCAACCAAAUUUUGGAAGUUUGGUUCUACAAGCUCGAGGGAGGCAAGGACUAGUAUUCCUGAAAAGUUUGACAGAAUAAGAUCAAGAUUUCGAAGGUUUUUGCAACAAGUUAAACUCUACUUAAGGUUAAAUCCUUUCCAAUACCUUGAUGGAUUUACUCAAGUUGGAUUCAUAGACACACUUUUAUUUGGAAGUGCUCUCUCUUGGUUCACACCUUUGAUAGAAAAAGAUUCACGACUACUCUAUGAUUUGAACUCAUUCUUAAAAGUAUUUAUGGCUACAUUUGGAGAAAGUGAUUGAGAAAGGAUAGCAGAGACCAAGCUUGUAUCACUAUGACAUGGAUCAUGUUCAGCCACUAUUUAUGCUGUUGAAUUCCAAAGUCUUGCUUGUGAUGUGGACUGGAAUGAUAAAGCCCUUAUCUAUCAAUUUUGUUAUGGAUUUAAGGAUAAUGUCAAAGAUUUAUUAUUGAUAAUGCUAAAAUUAGAUUCUUAAGAAUAAUUCAUUUUUCAAGCUAUUACAUGUGAUAAUUGUUUAUUUGAAAGACGUCAAGAACAAAGAUAUGGCUGGAGAGGAAGAAGUCAAGUCAUGGCAAUACCUUCUAAGUUUUUGGAAACCUUUCCAUCAUGGCCAGAGCCAAUACAAAUUGAUACGGUACGUUUUAAAUCCCUCAUAGAGUAGAAAAAGACUCAAUGAUGUCAAGAGGAUUUAUGUCUAUAUUGCGGAGAAGAUAAACACACUUCUCAACAUUGUCCAAGGAAUCAACGCAAUCACAAAAUGAGGAGUAUGAUUGCAUAAGAAGAUAAUGUAUCGAAAAACGAGUUCCUCCAACUAUAAGAGGGACCGUACAAUUGGAACCAUGUGCAAUUCUUAAUCAAGGUCCUAUUCUCUCUUUAGAUCCCUCACCUUGUUUUACAAUAGAUGUGUGCUUAGGACCCAAAAAUCAUAAAGUCUUUGCAUUAUUAGAUUCAGGAGCCUCAACUUGUUUCAUAGAUGAACACUUUGUCAAAAAACAAGAAAUAUCGUUAGUCAAGAAAAUCAAAUCCAUACAUAUGGAAGUACAAUCCUCAGAUAGAUUGGAUUUCUCCUAAUCUUAGCUUUUUUAGUAGUUUAUUUUGAAAUUCUAUUAAUCAAGAGGAAAUACAUAAGUCUAAUGUAUCUAAGUCCUUACUAGUAGGGGCAAGAGCUUUCAUACAUGCAGCCAAAGAGGGGUCAUCUUUUACUAUAUAUGCCAUGCCCAUUUCAGAAAGUGAAAAGACAUUAAGUAGUAUUCUUAGUCAAUAUCAAGAAUUCCAAGAUGUUUUUGAGAAGAAGAAUGCACAUAUUCUUUCAAAACAUCGACCUUAUGAUUGUUCAAUUGAUCUUCAAGAAGGAGCUCAACCGCCAUUUGAAUCAAUCUAUAGCUUAUUACAAAACAAGUUGGCUGCACUAAAAGAGUAUAUUGACGAGAACUUGGCUAAAAACUUCAUACGCCAUUCAAAAUCUUUAGUAGGAGCGCCGAUCUUAUUUGUGAAGAAAAAAGAUAGAUCUCUAUGGAUGUGUAUAGACUAUCGAGGCCUUAACAAGAUCACCAUCAAAAACAGGUAUCCUUUACCUUUGAUUUCAAAACUUCUUGAUCAACUCAAUCAAGCAAAGAUCUACACAAAAAUAGAUCUACGAGGAGCAUACAACUUGGUUUACAUCAAAGAAAGAGAUGAAUGGAAGAUGUCUUUUUGAACUAGGUAUGAACAUUUUGAAUAUAAUGUCAUGCCUUUUGGACUCACAAAUGCACCAAUUACUUUUCAACAUCUUAUGAAUGAUAUUUUUCAUGAGUUUUUAGAUGAUUUUGUCGUUUGUUAUUUAAACGACAUUCUAAUCUACUCUAAGAACACAGAAGAAUAUGAACUCUAUGUUCAUCGUGUGUUACAAAAACUAAAAGAUACAAGAUUAUAUGCCAAGUUGAAAAAGUGUGUAUUCCACACUACUCAAGUUGACUUUUUAGGAUACAUCAUUUCCAAUGAAGGCCUGAUGAUGGAUCCCAAGAAGGUCCAGACUAUCAUAGAUUGGAAGAUUCCAAGAACAGUAUGAGAUGUGUAAUGCUUUUUGGGCUUUGCAAAUUACUAUUGAAUCUUCAUCAAGAACUUUUCUCAAGUUGCAGCUCCACUUAUGUGUUUGACUUGUAAAAACAAAUUUGAGUGGAGUAAAGAAGCUGAAGUAGUGUUUGAUGCUUUAAAGAAAGAAUUUACUUCUGCACCAAUCUUGUAUCAUGUCGACUUCUCCAAGGUAUUUUUUAUGGAAACAGAUGCAUUAGACUUUGUCUUGGGUGCCAUUUUGUCACAAAUGGGAGCAGAUGACAAGCUCCAUCUAGUAGCUUUCUAUUCUAGGAAAUUUUUAGCAAUCAAGAUUAACUAUGAAAUCCACGAUAAAGAGCUUCUUAUAAUUAUGGAUUCAUUUCACGAAUGGCAUCAUUAUCUAGAAGGCACCUCAAAUCUAAUCACUUUAUACAUAGAUCAUAAGAACUUCAAGUAUUUCAUGUCAGCUUGCAUAUUAAAUCAUCAUCAAGCUUGUUGGAGCAUGUCUUUAUCAAGAUUCUAUAUCAUCAUCACUUAUCAACUAAGAAAACAACAAGAUUUAUCCGAUGCCUUGUCUAGAAGUUCUUAUCUUGCACCAAAAGAAGGAGAUGCAACUUUUGAGCAACAAAGAACGGUUCUCUUGAAGCCGAAGUAAUUUCAUCUUCGAGCAAUAAAAACAACAUUGAUUGUUGAUUUAACUUUUCUCAAGCAAGUCUAGUUAAGUAUGUCUUCAGACCUUCUUGUUCAUGAUAUUAAGAAUAAUUCUUCUAAAUCUCAUGAUCCCUCUAAAUUCGAGUUCAAGAAUAACCUACUCUAUUUCAAAGGACGCCUAUAUAUUCCAGAAGGAGAAGCAUGUUUACGUGUUCUUCAAGCUCGUCACGAUUUUUCACCAGCAGGAUAUUUUGGAUACAAUAAGACUUAAGAGCUAAUAUCUAGGGAUUUUUGGUCGCUUCAAAUGUGGAAGGCAGUCAAAGAUUUUGUACAAUCAUGUGAUGUUUGCUCAAAAACUAUCUUCUACUUUUCAUCCUCAAAUUGACGGAUAGACACAACAUGUAAAUCAAGUCUUGGAGCAAUACUUAAGAUGUACCAUCAACUAUCAACAAGAUGAUUGGACAACUCUUCUACCAUUGGUAGAAUUUGCUUAUAAUAAUAUGGUACAUUCUUCUACAUAACAAACACCUUUCUUUUCCAAUUAUGGUUAUCAUCUAUGACUUCACACAUUUGAUUUUUCAAAAGUUGAUAAUCCUACGGUAGAAGAUAUGACAAAUUGGUUGUCAGAGUUAUAUGCAACAAUGAAGGUGCAAUUAAAAGAAGCUCAAGAACGAUAAAAGAUAAAUGUGGAUGUUUAUCGAAAGGAACAACCACCAUUCCUCAUGGAUGAUAAGGUAUGGUUUCUUCAUCACAAUAUCAAGACCACUUGUCCUUGUGACAAGUUGGACUAUCAAAGGCUUAGACCAUUUUCUAUUUCUGCACAAAUCAAUCCAGUUGCAUAUCAUUUACAUCUAUCGAAGUCAAUGAAAAUCUAUCCAGUAUUCCAUGUAUCUCUUCUUGAACCAUAUAAGAUAGUGGACAUACCAAGAAGAAGACAAGCUCCACCUCCUCCUAUAGAAUUGAACAAUAAUGAAGAAUCUGAAGUGGAAGAAGUCUUAGAUUAAGGCGGCGCCAAAAUAAAUUGAAAUAUCUUAUCUAUUGGUAUAGAUAUGAUAUUAGUGAACACACAUAGAAGCGAGUAAAGAAACUUGUAAAUGCAGCAAAGGCUGUGGAGGCUUUUCAUUGACGACAUCUAUCAAAAUCAAGAUAAAAUCUUCUUUAUAAAAGAAACAAGAUCUAGACAAGAUAACAUUCUACUUUCAAUCUUUAUUUUUAGCUUCUUUAUAGUUGUGACGCUAAGAAGAUGGAGAAUCAACAACUAGCAGAUUCGAUUCAAGAGCCUUCAUUUGCUGACUUGUCGGAUGAGACAUAACGAUUGUCACAACCUUCAAGAUGACGCAAUUGAGAUGAAGAUCUUCAAGAACGAUAUGUUCUUCCUUGAAUAGAUGGCAAGAUACAAUGCAUUUGGUAUGACGACCUUGGAAGGAACUCCCGAUGUUUGGUGAUUUUAUUAGAGAAGAACAAUUCUUGAUGGUGUUCCAAAUAUUUUAUUCAAAGGAAGUUAUGAAGGCCUCAACAACGACCAAAUAACUGGGUGGUCUUUCUGCCCUCGCAUGGGAUACUACCAAUGGUUGAGAGGCCUUAUCAAUCAUCUUCAAAGAGAACAAAGAUCAGAGUAUGUAGCUAAUACAAUUUGUCGCAUCAUAGAUUUCCUCAACAUAUGAUGACCACUGUCAUACUGUAAAUGCUUACAGUAUGUAAAAAUCAGUUAAAACAUAUUACAUGUCAAUAAAUCUAAAUGUGUGUUAAAGUAAUUAAUAGAUUAAAUUAAAAAGAGUUGGUAAAAAAAAAAAAAAAAAAAAAAAACUUUAUUUUGUUUUCGUUACUUAGUUUGAUUAUAGUAUAUAAAAGUUAUAGAACCUUAAUGUUAAGUAUGAAGCCUUGAGAGGAGAUAGGGGCCUAAAGAUGAAGAUUUAAACUAAUAGGAGGUUAAUUGGGAGGGAUGAAACCAAGGCAUGGUUGGAUGAAGGUAGAAAUAAGGAUCUUCAUCCCCAUUGGUCGAAAUCCAUGCCCAAUGGGCUUUUAGGAGGCUGCCAGCGACCUUGAUAAGGGUUUCGGCGAUUUCAAAGAAGCCAUUAGGAAAUCAGAGGCAAGGGUUGUAAAGUUUAGGAUUUUGACUACAAUUUUUGUGCAAAUUUUAUAGGGUUUGGAGUUAGGGUGAAUAAGUUAUAGCCGUUUGAAGUUAAGGUGUCAAUUUGAGACCUACUGUUACUCUUUUGAGUUUAAGAAGAGUCUUACGGAAGCUUUUGGAGAUCGAAAGGUGCGGCUGGAAGGGCAACUUCAAGACAUACAUCUUUUGUUAAGGAAAGUUUGCAUUUGGAGUUUAAGUGAAGGAGUUAUAGGGAGUUAAAAACAGCACAUUCAAAUCAAAGGCAGUAAGUGAGCGGUUAUGUUCAAAGUAGUGUUAGGAGCCAUAACUUGAGUUUUCGAACGAAAUUUUGGCCCAAAAUUUGGGAGAAUGUAAAAAUUUGUGUUAAAAAGCUAUCCAUACAAGUUUCGUGGCAUUUGGACUUAUGGUUUGUGAGAUAUGAAGAAAAUUGCGCGCGGGUAUAUAAAGAUUAGGGUUUGAAGCGACUAUUAGGGUUUUGAAGAUAUCUCAAGAUCCGCAACGAACUUGCAGUUGAAAUUUGUUGUAAAAAUUAAUAACAACAUAUCAGUACUUCGUGUAAAUUUUGAUCUUGUUUGGACGGUUGGAUCAAGAGUUAUGAGGUAUUGAGGUUCGGGAGAAUUUCCACACAAGGAUAUAUAAGGUUUUAGAGUACUUCUACCAUAUUUUGGAUGUUGUUGGUUAUUUAAGACUUAAGUAUUUGGUGUAAUUGUCCCAAAAAGAGAACUUAUAUAUAUAAAUUUAGGAUUUCCUUAUUUUAAGCUUGAUUGAGCAAUUAGUGACAGCCAAAAGCCCAACGCUUUCUUGAGGCAAAACCUCUCUACCUCGACACUGCUCCUUGUGGAACUCAUCCCUAGAAGGGGGGUAAUGUCACGGACACAUUUAUGUAAGCUAGUAAUUACAUAUAUAAAUAAGUAGAAGUAAGUUAAAGUACUUAAAAGUAAGUUAAUUCUAUAAUAUUUGAUAUGGAAGCUUUUUAGAAGCUUCAUAGAUGCUGCUUUGACUUCAUAGGUGUCUUUAAUUGACUUUUUGGAUUAGAAUCGUGGUCAAAAAGUUGGCCAUGUGCCACACAUGUUGUUAGCUUGAAGAUCAAGCUAACUAAGUGGCCCACACAUAGAAAAACUUGCCUUGUAAGUCAAAGCAAGUGUCUUAUAAAGUCAACACAUAUUGAAGGUCCUAUAGAACAUUGCCACGUAGCCCUUAGUUAGAAAGUAUAUACAGAGACAAGAAUGAAGCCUUCUUCAUUCUUGACAACUCCUUUCUUAUUUUCAGUCUAGUUUCAAGAGUCGGCAUGUUUUCUAGUCUUUGGCAAUAGCCAUUUUAGUUCAAUAUAUUAUCACCUUUGAGUGAUUUCUAAGUAUUUUCGAGUGACAGAAGAGUGUGUUAAGAUUAUCUUUCUUUGGGGUUCAUGUCUUUGAUAAUAAGGAAGAAAAACAAAAAUUAUUAAAAGGAUAUUAUGAUAGUUUAUGGAUAGGACAUAGAGGAAUUUGGGCUACAUUUGCUAAACUUAAGGAAUGAUAUUAGUAGAAAAAUAUAUAUAUUGAGAUGUACUCAUAUUUGUAAAGUCAUAUAAAAUUUGUCAAGCAUAUUCUAAAAUACAACAUCAAGAUGGUCUUUAUCCUACAUAUCCUCUAGCUAUUUAUUUUAAAUGGGAUGUUGAUUUGGUUAUUAUGUCGAUCGGAUUAUGGCAAAUGAGAUAUUUGGUCUUAGCUUAUGAAGAUUUAUCAAAUGAAGUAGAAGGAAGAGCAUUGAGAACAAAAUCUACAGAAGAAAUUUGUAGAUUUUUGCUUGAAGAUGUUAUUUGCUGCUACGGAUGUGUAAGAAAAAUCACUACAGAUCAUGGAAAAUUAAAUGCACAAGAAGUUCGUGAAUUCUUUGAAAUAUGUGGAAUUAAAGCUAUUGAUUUAUCUUUAUUUUCACAAUAAAGACAUGAAAGUUCAUGCCUGGUCAGAAAUUAAGGGCGUGGGACAUUAUUAUUGAUUACAAGGACCAAUGAACUACUUGCCACACGAACAACAAUUGGAGUAUAUUGCAGAUACUAUGAGAUAAAUUUUCAACUUCUUACAUUGGUAUUGACUCGCAAUAGGAGUACUUCUCAGAGACCUUCAAGCUAAAAGAAGGGAUGAUGUCAAAGACAUACACUAGAAAGUGUAGAAGAUUCUAGAAGGUCCUAGAGAAACUUUGUAGUUUGUAGAAGCUACUUGAGAAGUUUUCAAGCUCCUGGAAGCUGCUUCACAAGCUCCCUAGCUUGUCGAAGUUACUUAAGAAGCUUCAUAACUAGUAGAAGCUGCUUGAAAAGCUUCCUAGUUUGUGAAAGCUACUUGAGAAGCUUUCUAGCUUAUAGUAUAUAUAAGAGCCGAGACUGAGGGGAUCCUCAGUCUCAACAACACACCUCUUGGAACUCUAAGUCACCUCUCUAGUGUUGUUCUUGUACUCAUCUGACUAAUCUAGUUCUUGUCAAUUCUUCUUGAGCUUCUUGUUUAGAUUUCCUGUCAGUAUUUUAAGUUCAUGAAAAUUAUAUUGGAUAAGGAGGCUCAAUUUGUAUCAAGAUUUUGAAGAUUCUUAUUCAAGAUUCUUAAGGUAGAUAUAAAGUUUUUUUUGGCUUUUCAUCUUUAAUUUGAUGGACAAACAAAACAGGAGAAUUAAACUUUGGAAUAGUAUUUGAGGUAUAUUAUCAAGUAUCAUCAAGAUGAUUGGACAACUCUUUUGCCAUUGGCAGAGUUUACUUAUAAUAAUUUAGUAUAUUCUUCUACUCAACAAAUACCUUUCUUUGCUAAUUAUGGUUAUCAUCCAUGACUUGAUAUUUUUGACUUUUUAAAAGUUGAUAAUCCUACGGCAAAAGAUUUAAUAAAUCAUUUGUCAAAGCUACAUACAACAAUAAAGAUACAAUUAAAAGAAGCUCAAGGAUAGUAAAAGACCAACGUGGAUGCCUAUCACAAGGGGCAACUAUAAUUCAACAUAGGUGACAAGGUAUGAGUACUUCAUUGCUAUAUCAAGAAAUCUUAGACUCAAAGUAACACCAAAAUAGGUUAGAAUAUCUUAUUCAUUGGCGUGGAUAUAAUAGUAGUGAAUGUAUAUGAGAGCCAUGAAAGAAUCUUACAAAUGAGCAAAGAAAGUUGAAGCUUUUCAUGAACGAAAUCCAUCAAAAUCAAGAUAAAGAAUAACAAAUCUUUACUAUAAAAGAAACAAGAUUAAAGAAAGGUAACAUUUCUUCUAUCUUUCUUUGUAGCUUGUGUGUAUUUGUGACCUUAAGGAAAUAGAGAAUUAACAACUAGUAGAUUCAACUCAAGAGCUUUCAUUUGCAGACUUACUAGAUGAGACAUUUUGAUAGUUACAACCUUCAAGACAACAAAAUCAAAAUAAAGAUUUUCAAGAUUGACAUGUCUUUCCUCAAAUACAUGGCAAGAUACAAUGUAUUUGGUAUCACAACCUUAGAAGAGACUCUUGUUGUUUGGUGAUUUUAUUAGAAGUAGGAAUAAUUCCUAACGUUGUUCGAAAUAUUUUAUUUGAAGGAAGUUAUAAAGGACUCAACAACCACCAAAUAGUAGGAUAGUCUUCUCAUUCUAAUAUGACACACUAUCGAUGGUUGAGAGGACCUAUUAACCAUCCUCAAAGAGAGCAAAGAUUUGAGUAUGUGACAAAUCUAAUUCACUACAUUUUGGACUUCUUCAACAUAUGAAGAUCACUCCUCAUAGAACUUGUAUCUAAAAGGGAAGGUUAUAUCACAAAUUAAUAAAUUUACUUCAAUAAUUACUUAUAUAAUUAAAUAAAAGUAAGUAAAUAUAAAUUAAUUUCAUAGUCUUUUAGUGAAGCUUUUUAGAAGCUUCAUAGACAUGGUUUUGACUUUAGAUGUAUUUAUAGGUUGAAAAUUUAGCCAACAAAUUAAUCAUGUAUUGGUAGCUUGUGGAACAAGCUAACUAUACAUAGUAGCUUGUGAAACAAGUUAAUCAUGUGGUGCAUAUAUAGAUAACUUGCCUUGUAAGUUAAAACAUGUGGCUAGCAAAGUCAACAUGUCUUGGAGGUCUUAUAAGACAUCACCACAUAGUUCCUAAUUAAGAGUAUAUAUAGGGGCAAGAGUGAAGCCUUUUUCAAUCUUGUCAAUGCCGUUCUAGUCCUUAGUCUUAUUUCAAGACUUUCUAGUUUUCUUGUUUUUGGCAAUAGCCAGUCUAAUUAAUAUUACAUUACCUUUUGAAUGACUUUCUAGUUUUCUUCAGUGACACAAGAGUGUAUUAAAGAUUCUCUUUCUUUGAGAUUCAUGUCCCUGACAUAGGAAUUGCUUUAGGAUUUGAUUUAGAUUUAGAAUUAGGAUUUUGAGUUGAUUUAAGGUUUGGUUAGGAUUAAGAUUUGAUUAAGAUUAGGAUUUGAUUAGGAUUUGAUAAAAAUUUGACUAAGAUUAAUUAGGGCUUAUUUAAGAUUUGAUUAGAAUUUGAUUAGAAUUAGAAUUUGGAUAAGUUUUAGAUUUUGGUUAGGAUUAGGAUUUGAUUAGGAUUAGGAUUUGGUUAGGAUUAGGAUUUGGUUAGAAUUAGAAUUUGGUUUGAUUUAAGAUUUGAUUUGAUUUAGGAUUUGAUUUGGAUUUCUUUAAGAUUUCUUUAAGUUUCUUUAGGAUUUCUUUGAAUUUCUUUUAUAAUUUAUUUUAAAAAUAAAAAAUAAUAAAAUAAUAAAAUAAAAUAAAAUAUAAUAAUUGGACUUAAUUGAUAUUUGAUUAUGGUUGUUAAGCUUCUAUAGCAGUUUAUAUAUGAUUUUAUUAAAGUAGUUAGGACUUAUUACAAAUUAUUUUUAUCCUCUACAAUAAGGUGCCUAGCGCAUUCUCAAGGAAGAUUUCAUAUAAUACGACAUAAGUGGUAGAUCCAACAUGAAAACUUGACGUGGUAGGUGUUGGAGUUUGUUUAUUUUUAUUUUUAUUUUAUAGAAGAGAAGAAUAAGAGUUUUGAAGGAGCUUUGGAAGGAGCUUCAAGUAAAGCUUCUAGUGGAGUUUCUUCUAAAGGACAAGGUAUGUACAUGAAUCCAUCCGUUGCUAGUAUGUUUCAAGCCUUUUCAUUAUUUAUGUAGCAAUAGUAAAGUAAUAAUUGCAAAGAAGCUUUGGCAACCAAAGUAUUGCAAGCAAUAUUCAAUAAAAUUAAUCAAUUUGAUGGAAGAGAUAUUUUUAAAUAUUUAAGAUGUUAUAUAUGAGAAAUGGAAUUAAAUCAAGUUUUUGAGAAGAAGAUAAUUGAACUAUUUGGACUUGCCAUAAUAUCAAAAAUAAGAGAAUAUGUUUCAUCAAUUAUAAAGCAUUAUGGAAAUUCAUAAGAGACUUUUUCACAUGCAUUAAGAGACGAAGAUUUUUUGGAUGAUACCGAUCAUAUUACUAAAAAAGUAUUUCUAGAAUGGAUUGAGUGGCCUAGUAAGAAUUUACAAGCAAUAAAGCUAUUAAGAGAAUUUGAAAGGCAAUAUUCUCAAUUGUCAAAGAUGGAAAAAUUGACAUUGGAGCUGAACAAGAUUGAAUUAUUUCUUUAAACUGCUAAUGGAAAAUUAAAAGAAAAAUUGAAAUUGCUUCUUGAAGACAAAGAAGAAGACGAAGGAUUGAUAAAAAAGUAGAAAAAUGUUGAAGAUGCAAAGGGAUUGUUUGUAAAACAAGAAAGGAGAAAUGAUAGGAUUAAUAUUUCAAGAGUAGUAAAAGCACUUAAAUUCCAAGUACAUACAACAUGACCAACAAUGCAUACUAUUCAACCUCCAACAUCUUUACCAAAGAUAGAAGAUAUGAGAAUUGAAGAAAUCAUACGUGGGAUGCGGGAUCUUUAAAUGAAAUUGGCAAAACUUGAAAAAAAGACUUUUACAAAUAAUUUGAAGAGUGUUUUUAAGUAAGGAUAUUUACAAAGAUGCAUUUGAUGUAAUGAUGCUUCUCAUAUUAGGAAGGAUUGUAAUAAAUUUAAUAAUAUGGUGCAGCAAGAGAUUAUUUACUGAAAAGAUGGAAAGAUAGCAUUAAAGGAUACAAAGGAUCUUUUUAAAACCAAUUUUGGUAAGGAAUGUAUGAGAGUAUUGAUUCAAGACUAUAUAAUAAAAUAUAGAGUAACAACAUAAGAUAGUAUAAGUUAUAGUGCCAAGGUAGAUGAUGACUUUGAUGGAUGUAUAGAAACAAGUGGAUUUUGGACUUCUACCAUUUCUAUGAUGUAAAAAGGAAAAAUGCCUCGAAAAGCAUUAUUAAAAAUUACAGCUAUAAUACAAGGUACAAUAAGCUAGGAAGAUCCUGUAGAAGCUCUUUCAGUUCAUAUAUAAAUUGCUAAGAGUCAGCUUGAAGCUUUGAUAGAAAAAAAGAGAAGAGGAAAUUUUGAUGAUACAAGAGAAGGAAAUUCUUCUAAGAGGCAAACUCGAGGAGAUAAGGCUCAUGAAGUAGCUUCACAAGAAUUGCUUAUAAAAGAUAUUUCAACAACAUUGAAAGAAAAAAAUAAAAGAGACAAAAAAUAAAGAUAAAUCAAUAGCUUAUAAGCUAUUUUUUGAUAUUGAAGCAGCAAUAGAUUUAAAGGGAGUGUUGAAAGAAUAUGUAUCAAAUGCCAAAGUAGAAUUCACAUUGAAAGAGAUUUUGAGAAUUACAAAGAAGGAGUUUCACGAUGUUAUCAUUGAUAGUAUUAAAAAGAAGAGAUAAUUAAUGGACGAAGCUAGGAUGAGUCAUGCUAUUGAUGCAAGAUAAUAUAAGGAUGAAGAAAAAAGUGAUUAAGGUUACAAGUAAUCAAUAAAUGAGAAGAAUGGUUAUAAUCAAUAAUUAUAUUUUGAAGAAUAUAGUGAUAAGUAAAUACAAACUUCAAGCCAUUAUACUCAAAAGUAUUGAGCAAGAGCAACUACAAAAGUAUUGGUAAAGGUAGGUGAUAUAAAAAAAUUGAUUUUGGUUUAAUUGACCAUGGUUCUGAAAUAAAUCUUAUAUCAAGAGAUCUUGAUAAGAAGUAGAGGUGGCCAAUUAAUAUAAAAUAUGGAUAGACAAUACAAGUGGCUAAUAAUAUAUGAGGUAAAUUAUAUGGAGCUUAUCUAGAUAUUAAAAUCUGGAUUUGGGAUAUUACAACAGAACAAUAUUUUUUUGUUCAAGAUACAACAUCAUAUCCAUUGAUUUUAGCACAACCUUAUAUUACAGCAAUACGGAUAGGAAUAAAUGUUUUUGAUGAUGGUUCAGCUUAUGCAUGAAUAUAAAGUGAAGAUAGAAGAAAAGUGGUACAAUUUCUAAUCAUGCCUCUUAAUCAUAAACAAAAUUGAGAUAGGUUGAGAAAAAAGCUAUUACCAAGAAUUAUUAAGGAAUUUAAGGAUUUUAGAGAAGUACCAUUAUAAAACAAGAUUAUGGAGGUACAGAAGAAGAAGUACUCUUGUAAGAUAUAGGUGCCUUUGAUACAAGUUUUAUUGAUAUUUUUGAAAAUGGAAGUAUUAUUUAUAAAAAAUUUGAAGAUUUAAAAAAAAAUAAAAGGAAAAAAAUUUAUAAUAUUAAAAGAAAAUUAUAUAGAUUAAGAACUUUAGAAAAAAAUGAGAAGAUUUUAGGGAUUUAUGAAGAAAAUAGAUUAGAAGAUUCUUUGGAAUUAAUUACAUCUAUUAGAUUAAGAAAUGAUGAUAAGUUUGUAGAAAUAUAUUCAAAGGAUGUUUAUACUAUUCUUAAAUAUUUUUAAGAGCCAGAAGUUAUUGUAGAGACAAAAUAUAAAACAAUAGACAAGAAGGUAAAACCUACUACUGGACCUUUACUAUAAGAUUUUAUAGAAUAAAUAGAAGAAGUAUCAAAAAAAAAAAAUUUAAGAGAUCUAUAGAAUAUUGAACAUCAAUUUACAAAGGAGACUUUUGGAGAAUUGAAGAUUAGAUGUGAUGGUUCUUUGUUACUAAUAAAGAUUGAAUAUUUUAAAAAAAUGCUUAAAAAAUAAGGUAAAUUAUUUGCUUUUAGACCUCAUGAAAUAAGAUGUAUAGAUCUUAAUAUUAUUGCUCUUAUAGUUAUCUUCAUAAUAUCGCAUGUGUCUUAGAACUUAAGGCCAAUUUCUAUGCCAAGACAGAUUUAUCUAAAUUUGAAGAAUUAUUGAAAGAAAAAAUACAAAUGAAGAUUUUAGAGCCUUUUUUUAUUCUAUAUUCUAGUCGUUGAUUUACAGGGCCUAAGAAAAAUAGAUCAUUAUGCUUUAUUCAAGAUAUACAGCCAAUAAAUAUAGUAACUAUUAGAAAUGCAAGUAUAGGAUCUUUAGUAGAUGAGUUUAUAGAAGCAUUUGUAGAUAGAACAAUUUAUUAAAUGGAUAAUUUAUAUUUGAGUUAUGACCAAUUUAACUUGGACAUGGAAGUAGAGAUUUAACAACAAUAAGAAUGCUACUUGGUCUACUUAAAAUAUAUACUCUUCUUUAAGGUGCUACUAACUCAGAUGCACAUAUGAUAAAUCAUAUGAACAAGGUAUUGAAGGACUUUAUUCUUAAAAAAAUUAUACAUUUUCUAAAUAAUAUUUCUAUUAAAGAAUAUAAAGAAUAAAAGAAAAAAAAUGAGACCUUAGAUGAGAGGAGGUAUCGUAAGUAUAUUGUUGAUCAUAUAUAAGACUUGAAGAAGAAGAUUUUAAUUUGACUUGAAGAAGUUCAUCUUACACUUUUAAAAGUAAAAUCUAUAUUUGGAAUAUAAGAAGUUAUCAUUAUUGGACACUUGUAUGGAUUUUAUAGAAGAAAACUAGAUCCAAGUAAAGUUGAUGCAAUUGGAAGGAUGAAAGAUAUAUGUGAUUCUUUAACAGAAGUACAUAGGUUUCUAGGAGCUUGUAUAUUUCAUCAUAUUUGGAUUCCUCAUUAUGUUCAUAUAGCAGAUUCAUUGUAUAAAUUAUUACGUAAAGGUUGUAAAUUUAAAUGGAAAAAAAUACAUAUUGAAGUAAUGUAAAAACUAAAGGUAUUAUUAUUGACACCUCUAAUAUUAAGAAGAAUUGAUUAUGAGUAUAAUAGACAAGUAAUACUUACUCUGGAUAUGAAUCAGAUUACUAUUGGAUGGGCUAUGGAUCAAGAUGAUUCAAGUGGAAACAUAUUUGCAGUUCAAUUUAGAACUAAAGUUUUAAGUACUUAUCAAUGUACAUAUUUGCAAGUUAACACAAAAUUAUGGGGAGUUGUUUCAGCUAUGAAAGCUGAAAAGGAUGAUUUGAUUGGUAUUAUUGUACUAAUUGAAACAGAUUUUUUGCCAUUACUUGGAAUGAUUACUAAUUGUUCAACAUUGGAUAUUACAAUGUUAAGAUGGAUUACUUAUGUUGAAUCAUUUUCUCUAAAUUUUAAGCAUAUUACUGGAAAAGAUGAUUUUGUAGCAAACAUGUUAUCUUGAGCAAGAUAUGAAAGAGAAGAUGAGAUAGUUGAAGACAUUGAUAAUGUUGGAAUAAUCAAAUCUCUAUUCAAUAUCAAAUCUUAAUAAAAAAGAUAAAAUAUUACAAAUGAGAUAUUUGGUCUUGGCUCAUAAAGAUUUAUUGAACCAAGUAGAAGGCAGGGCACUAAGAACAAAAUCCACAAAAAAAAUUUAUAGAUUUUUACUUAAGGAUGUCAUUUGUCGCUAUGGAUGUGUAAAAAAGAUCACUACAAAUCAUGGAAAAUUAGAUACACAUGAAGCUGAAGAGUUUUUUAAGAAAUAUGGAAUUAAAUUGUCAUUAACUACUGCUUAUAAUCUAGAAGAGAAUGCAAAGAAUGAACGUGGAUAUCUAUUAAUUAUAAAAGCCUUAAUUUUAAUUGUGGAAGAGUGAGAGAAUGGCUUAUUCUAGAAAAGCUUAUUGUGGAAAAGCUUAUUGUGGAAGAGUGAGAGAAUAGCUUCGACUUCUACCUUAUGCAUUAUGGGUUGGUCAAACAACUCAUAGUUCAAUGAUAGGAUAUAUGCCAGUAGAACUUAUAAUAGAUCAAAAAUUAAUUAUGCUAAUUGAAGAACAUGUGCCAACUUGGAGUAUUCUACUAUAAAAAGUUGAAUUAACAAGAGAUGAAUUGUUAGCUAUUAGAAUUUGGUAACUUAAACAAAGAUUGGAGGAUGUAGAACUAACAUUAGAAAGGUUACAAAAAGCAAGCUUAGGAAAUAAGACUCAAUUUGAUAAGCAACAUUGAUUGAGGCCUAGAGCAAUUUAAGAAGAUAAUUGAGUACUUGUUUAUGACAAAAGUCUCGAAAACCAACAUAGUGCUUUGCAAAAGUUUUUAAAAUGUUGAUUUGGACCAUAUGUAGUAAUAACUAUUCAUGAUAAUGUAACUUAUUCAUUACGAGAGCUAGAUAGAACAAGGUUAAAAAUACUAAUUGUAGGGAAGCGAUUGAAGAUAUUCAAACAAAGACAGACAUGAAUAAAUAUAGAAGACCUUAUUGACAACAUAAAUCUUUUAAGAUAAAAAGAUGAACUUGACUUAAAUAGUAAAAAUGAUGAAGAAGACUUAAAUGAAGAUGUAGACAACAUAAUAUGAAUCAAACAAUGUGUCACGGACAUACUCAUGUAAGCUAGUAAUUACAUAUACAAAUAGAUAGAAGUAAGUAAAAGUACGUAAAAGUAAGUUAAUUCUAUAGUAUUUAAUAUAGUAGCUUCCUAGAAGCUUCAUAGACGUUGCUUUGACUUCAUAGGUGUCUUUAAUUGACUUUUUAGAUUAGAAACGUCGUCAACAAGUUGGCUAUGUACCAUACAUAUUGUUAACUUGAAGAUCAAGCUAACUAUGUGGCCCACACGUAGAAAAACUUGCCUUGUAAGUCAAGGCAUGUGUUCUACAAAGUCAACACAUAUUGGAGGUCCUAUAGAACGUCGCCAAGUAGCCCCUAGUUAGAUAGUAUAUAUAGAAACAAGAAUGAAGCCCUCUUCACUCUUGUCAACUCCUUUCUUGCUUCUAGUCUAGCUUCAAGGGUCUCUAGUUUUCUUGUCUUUUGGCAAUAGCCAUUCUAGUUCCUCUUUCAAUAUACAUACUUAUUUAUUUAUAUUUUUUUACCUUUCUUUGAGUGAAGGCUCACUUGUUUGGAUUAUUUUUUCAUCAAGUUCUUGUCCUUGACAGAUUGAUAAGAGUACACCUAGAAUAUCGGAGCUUUAUCUAAUCUUGAUUAAGAGUGGAUUACCCCAUUUUCUUGAUAAGAUAUAAGCAUAUUAGAAGUUGCGGAUUACCCUCUUUUAAACUGAUAUUAUCCUUAGUAUUUUCUUUGUUCUCAAGUCCUCUCUUCUAUUUGUCUUGAGCAAUAUUAGACAUCUUUCUUUUCUAAGUGUUAUCAUGGCAGUACUUGUUGAAAUGAAGAAUGCAAUGGCACAAAUACAAGAGCAAUUGAGGGAGUUAAUGCUCACGAUGCAUCAACUCAAUUUACCACCACAAGGAGCAACAAAAUUGAUCGGAAGUGAAGAUAUAGAAAUAGUUGGAGCUGCUUCAACAUCUGCACCAAACCAUGUCCUUUUUCUUAUGGUGGAACGCUCGUCCAGUGUUAGAGAACCAAGAAUUGCCCUACCCGAGAAGUUUGAUGGCACCAGAUCCAAGUUUCGAGGAUUUAUCAAUCAAGUGCAACUUGUGAUUGAACUUCAACCCCAAAGCUAUCCAACUCCAGGAUCGCAAGUUAGAUUCAUUGGUACGCUUCUUUCAGGUUCAACACUAUUGUGGUUUUCAUCUUUUCUUGAACGACAAGAUUCAAUAUUGAAUAAUCUAGAGGCUUUUCUGGUGGAGUUUCGAUCCAUGUAUGGAGAACAUGAUGUAAUUCAUGUUGCAACCAAUAAGAUCUGUAUUUUAUGACAAGGCAAUUAAUCAGUAACGUUGUAUGCUUCAUAAUUUUAACAACUUACAACUGAUAUCAAGUGGGAUGAUACUGCACUUAUUAGCCAAUUUCUCUAUGGAUUACAAUAUGAGGUAAAAAAAUUAAUGCUCAACUUACCUGAUCCUCAAACAUUGAGUCAAGCAAUUGACUUUGCUAUGAAGUGCGACAAUCACCUUUUUGAAUUUCGAUCUGAGAACCGUACAAGUGGACCUCAACAUUACUAUAAUUCAAUGGCAAUACCAACACCUCUUUGACACAUACAUUCGGAAGUAGAGGAUAUGCAAAUUGAUGCAGUACGUUUCAAACCUCUUAUUGGGCAAGAAAAGACUCGUCAUCGUCAAAAAGGAUUAAGUUUAUAUUGUGGAGAACCAAAACACACUGCUCAACAUUGUCCAAAGAAACGACGCAAUCACAAAAUGAGGAGUAUGGCUGUGAAAGAAGACAAUAUUUCAGAAAACGAGUUUGUCCAGCUACAAUAGGGACCGUGCGGCUGGAACCUUACACAACAUCUAGUAAGGGUCUUAUUCUCUCCUCAGAGCCCUCUCCUUGUUUUACAUUAAAUAUUAUUUUAGGACCUAAACAUUACAAAGUCUCUGUCUUGUUAGAUUCGGGAGCCUCAGCGUGUUUUUUAGAUGAAGAAUUUACUAAAAGACAUAGCAUAUCUUUAGUAAAGAAAACUAAACCUGUUCAUGUAGAAGUCAUAGAUGGUCGUCUAUUGUCUUCUGGAGAUAUUACUCAUGAAAUCCUUCCUACAGAAGUAAUAAUCAAUGGUCAUAAUAGUUUUGUAGUAUUUAAUAUCAUUAGAUCUCUCUCUAAUCCAAUUAUUUUAGAUUUAUCGUGGUUAGAAAAAUACAACCCUCAAAUAGAUUGGAUUUUCCGAAUUCUUAGUUUCUCUAAAAGUACAUCUAACAGUGUAGUUAUUCAAGUAGAGAGUCAUAAGUCCAGUUCAAUUAAAUCCGUAUUUAUAGGUGUAAAAGCUUUUUUGCAUGCUGCUAUGAAAGAAUCACCAUAUAUUAUUUAUACCACACUUUUUCCUACUGGUGAAAAGACUUUAAGUGGCAUUCCAAGCCAAUAUCAAGAAUUUCAAGAUGUAUUUGAAAAAAAGAAUGCAGAUAUACUCCUAGAACAUCGUUCCUAUGAUUGCUCAAUUAACCUUCAAGAAGGAGCACAACCGCCAUUCGGAUCAAUCUACAGUUUAUCACAAAAUGAGUUCACUGAACUCAAGGAGUAUAUUGAAGAAAAUCUAGCCAAGAAUUUCAUACGCCAUUUUAAAUCUCCGGCAGGAGCUCUAAUUCUAUUUGUGAAGAAAAAAGAUGGAUCAUUGUGGAUGUGUGUUGAUUAUCGAGGACUCAACAAGAUUACCAUGAAGAAUAGGUAUCCACUACCUUUAAUAUCUGGACUUCUUGAUCAGCUGAAUCAAGCUAAGAUCUAUACAAAAAUAGAUCUACGGAGAGCAUACAAUCUAGUACGCAUCAAAGAAAGAGAUGAAUGGAAGACUGCGUUGUCGUGUUGUGGUUCGGCUACUAUAUGAAAAUAAUGUAAUUAUGUACUUAAUAUAUAAUUUAUUAAGUAACAUGGUGAAAGCCAUGUUAGUAGAUUUUAGUUGGUUGUAGAAUAUAAUUUGAUUAUUAAUUUGAAAAGAGGUUGUUUAAAAAGAUUACUAUAGAAUUUUUAUAACUUUAAUUUCUUUUUGAUAGUGGCUUUUAAGAUUGGUUUUCGUUGAUAGUAACUUCUAAAUAUUUAGAGUCACCUUUAUUAGACAUUGGUGACAUUUGAAAAUUUAUUUUGGUUCUUUUAUUUGGUGUUUAGAGCAUAAAUUAUGUAAAUCUUAUAAGAAAAAGGAUUGAAGAAGGAUUUUGGUAGCAAAGGGAGUAAUUAGGGCACCAAUAUAGAUGAAUGGAGAUGAAUGAUGAAAAUCUCCAUUCCUAUUGGUCAAAAAUCAUGACCAAUGGGCUUUGAGGAGGCUGCCCGAGGCCAUAUUAGGGAUUAGGGUU
rnacentral:lncRNA from 1 species